AAACAAAUGUAAUACAAUGUAUUAAAGUGCAUGAAAUGUGAUUGUGAUACAACGAGAGGCGCAGCAGCGCCCUCCGCAGGACUGUUGAGGUACUGAGGUACGAGGAGAGGUUGGAAGUGAGCAGCAGGCUUCAGAGGAGCCGAUCACACCGAAGAAAGUUUUUUGCAGACAGGCUAGUAAAGGUGCAGUAAAACAGACGCAACCAAAAGGACCCCCAGAGAUAUGGAAGGCAAACAAUUCCAAAAUUAGCAUGUAAAGUCAGCCAAUGAACGUGAGAGAAUUUAAUUUCUUCAAAGCGCUCCGGCUGAAUGGCUCUCCACUCCCGCCACGAGACCAGAGGUUCUGAGUCCACCGUCCCGGAGCGACCGGACCCGGAGGAGGACCUGCUGGCCGCUAGACCGCGCCGACGACGCCGGUUAAGCAUGGACCAGCCGCCUUCAUUUGAAGCGGAUUUGACCGGAGCGGAUCCAAGCUUGGAUGUUUGCGUGCCGUGCACAGACUUACCCGGUGGCUUCGACAGAAAAACAAACGCGUUCUUGUGUAAUCUCACCUCCAUGAAAUGCAAGGGCGUAACCAUGGUUUAGACAUUGGGGGGGGUCUAAUUUUUUAUUAUUAUUUGUUAAGUGCAUUGCCUACAAUUCUAUAUUUAUAUAUGAAAAUGUGGACAUUUAGAACAUAGUUUCGAGGACUACAUUGACCAUUUGAAUUCACAACUAAAGGAAUAGUGUAAUAAUGUAAUGUCUGCCCCGCCCCCCCCCCCCACACACACACACACACACACACACAUACAUACACACACACUUUGUUUUGGUUAGUUGCUUACUGACCUUAAACACACCUACCAAUUACAAUUAUGCUCUUCCAGUAGUACUGUAGCAAAAAGGAUAGCUUCCAAUGGAAAAAUACCACAUACCCAAAGCAUGUUUUUUUAAUGUUAUUUUAAUUAGGACAACUACUGAUGUACUUUUGUGAUGUACAGACUUUAACAAAAAAAGCAGCCUGCCUCUCUGCCUCCCUGUCUGUCUGUGCUGCCUGCAUUGUGACCACAUGUCAUUAUGUUAUCAGAAGAACAGUGGCUGACCUUCGUGAUCAUUUUGGUCUAUAUAUUCUGCUUGUAUUAGAAGUAGGCUACUUUUAUGUAUUGCUGACAUGUAGGCCCAGGUUAUAAACAAUGUUGUAAGGCUGUCUAGUCUCACAUUCAAAAUUCUCACCUUAUCACCUGCAUGUCCAGAGCAUGUCCCUGUCUGGCCACUGCUUUCAGCCUGCCUGUCUCUCUCCCUGUCUCUCUGUGAUGCCUGCAUUGUGACCACACGUCAUUUUAUCAGAAAAAACAGCGACUCAUAUUUUAAUUAGGCUACUCGUUUUAUUUGCUCACACAUUUAGCUCGGUAUCAAGCUACUAAUUGUCUGGAGAAAAAAAAAACGUGUACGCUCGGCUGCUGGUCCAGUUUUAUCCGCUUUUUAAGUAACCUUAAAUUGUCCGUUACCUCCUCUCCAACACGUUAAAUAACGUUACAGGCACUGCUUUCAGCAUGCCUGUCUCUCUCCUUCUCUCUCUGUGCUGCCUGCAUCGUAACCAUGUCAUUUUAUCAAAAGAACAGCGACUGACCUUCAUGAGCUAUAUAAUAUUCUGCUUUUACGAGGCUACUCAUUUUAUUUGCUUACUCAAAGCUCGGUAUCAAGUUACUUACUGUCUUAAAAAAACUGCGUAUGCUUGGCUGUUGGUCCAGUUUCUUCUGCUUUUUAGGUAACCUCAAAUCCUCCAUUACUCAACUUUACUUUCUUGGCUCUCACUGAAGAAAGAG